rnacentral:tRNA from 1 species
GGUGUAGCUCAGUGGCAGAGCACCUGCUUAGCAUACUGGAGGUCCUGGAUUCAACCUCCAGCACC